UACGGAGGGUGCGAGCGUUGUCCGGAAUCACUGGGCGUAAAGGGCGCGUAGGUGGCCUGUCAAGCGCGCGGUGAAAAGCCCGGGGCUCAACCCCGGGUCGGCCGUGCGGACUGGGAGGCUCGAGCAGCUGUAGGGGCGGGUGGAAUUCCGGGUGUAGCGGUGGAAUGCGUAGAGAUCCGGAAGAACACCGGUGGCGAAGGCGGCCCGCUGGGCAGGAAGGCUCGCAAGAGCCGGCUGACACUGAGGCGCGACAGCGUGGGGAGCCAAACAGG
rnacentral:rRNA from 1 species